rnacentral:ribozyme from 1 species
UGCACAGCAAAUCUUUUCCCUAGCUCCUCGCGGUACUGACCGAAGUCCGAGCAACCUUAGGAAGGAUCGGGUAACCAACCCCAAUGGAAACUUUGGUCGUAUGCUGAUAGAGAAGG